rnacentral:rRNA from 1 species
UAGGGAGGAAAAGAAACCAACUGGGAUUACCUUAGUAACGGCGAGUGAAGCGGUAAAAGCUCAAAUUUGAAAUCUGGUACUUUCAGUGCCCGAGUUGUAAUUUGUAGAAUUUGUCUUUGAUUAGGUCCUUGUCUAUGUUCCUUGGAACAGGACGUCAUAGAGGGUGAGAAUCCCGUUUGGCGAGGAUACCUUUUCUCUGUAAGACUUUUUCGAAGAGUCGAGUUGUUUGGGAAUGCAGCUCAAAGUGGGUGGUAAAUUCCAUCUAAAGCUAAAUAUUGGCGAGAGACCGAUAGCGAACAAGUACAGUGAUGGAAAGAUGAAAAGAACUUUGAAAAGAGAGUGAAAAAGUACGUGAAAUUGUUGAAAGGGAAGGGCAUUUGAUCAGACAUGGUGUUUUUUGCAUGCACUCGCCUCUCGUGGGCUUGGGCCUCUCAAAAAUUUCACUGGGCCAACAUCAAUUCUGGCAGUAGGAUAAAUCAUUAAGAAUGUAGCUACCUCGGUAGUGUUAUAGCUUAUUGGAAUACUGCUAGCUGGGAUUGAGGACUGCGCUUCGGCAAGGAUGUUGGCAUAAUGGUUAAAUGCCGCCCGUCUUGAACCACG